CCUACGGGUGGCAGCAGUGGGGAAUAUUGCACAAUGGGCGCAAGCCUGAUGCAGCCAUGCCGCGUGUGUGAAGAAGGCCUUCGGGUUGUAAAGCACUUUCAGCGGGGAGGAAGGCGGUGAGGUUAAUAACCUCAUCGAUUGACGUUACCCGCAGAAGAAGCACCGGCUAACUCCGUGCCAGCAGCCGCGGUAAUACGGAGGGUGCAAGCGUUAAUCGGAAUUACUGGGCGUAAAGCGCACGCAGGCGGUCUGUCAAGUCGGAUGUGAAAUCCCCGGGCUCAACCUGGGAACUGCAUUCGAAACUGGCAGGCUAGAGUCUUGUAGAGGGUGGUAGAAUUCCAGGGGUAGCGGUGAAAUGCGUAGAGAUCUGGAGGAAUACCGGUGGCGAAGGCGGCCCCCUGGACAAAGACUGACGCUCAGGUGCGAAAGCGUGGGGAGCAAACAGGAUUAGAUACCCUUGUAGUC
rnacentral:rRNA from 1 species